AUUGAACGCUGGCGGCAGGCCUAACACAUGCAAGUCGAGCGAGCGGCGGACGGGUGAGUAAUGUCUGGGAAACAGCCUGAUGGAGGGGGGGAAAUACUGUAAACGGUAGCUAAUACCGCACACACUCAGAUGUGAGCAGAUGGGAUUAGCGAGUAGGUGGGGUAAUGGCUCACCUAGGCGACGAUCCCUAGCUGGGCUGAGAGGAUGACCAGCCACACGGGAACUGAGACACGGUCCAGACUCCUACGUGAGGCAGCAGUGGGGAAUAUUGCACAAUGGGCGCAAGCCUGAUGCAGCCAUGCCGCGUGUGUGAAGAAGGCCUUCGGGUUGUAAAGCACUGUCAGCGGGGAGGCGUUACCCGCAGAAGAAGCACCGGCUAACUCCGUGCCAGCCGCCGCGGUAAUUC
rnacentral:rRNA from 1 species